rnacentral:rRNA from 1 species
UGCGUAGGUGGCUUGGUAAGUUUGAUGUGAAAUCUCCGGGCUUAACCCGGAAAUGGCAUUGAAUACUAUUGAGCUGGAGGUUUGGAGGGGGGACGUGGAAUUCUCGGUGUAGCAGUGAAAUGCGUAGAUAUCGAGAGGAACACCAGUGGCGAAGGCGAGUCCCUGGACAACACCUGACACUGAGGCACGAAAGCUAGGGGAGCAAACA